AUAUGUGAUUUUAUAGGUGCCUAAAAGACAAAAAUUAAAUCCUUCCCUUCAGAGAAUUUACAAAUUGAUUGAGAGAGAAGCACUCCAUGAAGGAAAAAUAAACUUAGGGGAAUCAGAGCUCGCCACAAUGGGAAUGCUUCUAUUAUUUAACAUGAUGGAAAGUUUAAAAGGCUGAGGAGUAAGAAACCAGGCCAUUAAAUAAUGUAUAAUAGAUUUCUUAGAGUAAUACUAAUAUCUUGAAGAGUGCUCUGUGAAGUACAUAUGACCAAAAGGAAAGGCAUGAAACACAUAACUAUAUUCCCAUGCUAAAGAGUACAAUCAAAUACAUUUUUGUUUAUGCAAAAAUGGCUUUUCUGUGGACUGUGGGAGCACCCAGGACAUAACCUUCCCGAGAUUGGUCUACCUGUAUAUGUCACGCAAGGUGUAAUGCAUUGUCAAGAAUGAAUAUCACCACGUACACAAACAGAGGAGACGCGGUGCAAAGCUUUGAACAAUCACUCCUAUAGACAAUGCUGGAAUGUUUGCUUGUGUAUUUCAUUGGGGGAAAUGCCCAUUUUUGAAAUAUCAUCAAACUGAUUUUUGGUCGGUGUUUCACAGGGAAUCACAGGCUCAAAUUCCAGGAGAAUUGGGUCAGCCUCUCAUCUCUGGGAGCCAAAGAGACUGAAUAUCAUGCAAUCUCAGCACUUUGGGAUGUGACUUUAAAACCAGAGGACAAAGUACACAUUUUGAGAGUUCUGUACUGCUCGCGUGUGUGUCUGCCUCAUUAAGAAAGGCUGAAGGGCAGGACUGCUCACAACAUCUUAGCUAACUUAAUUUCCUGUCAUCUUCUGUUUCUUGGAGGACCUGGACUUCUGCAUGUGGGAAGUAAAUACCCCAGCUCCUCAUCCACCAGGAGUUGUGUGGCCUUUGACAUUCAAUACACUGUUUCCUAGUCCAGAAAUAUAAAAAGAUUUAGCAACUAUCUGCCUCUUCAAAAGAUACCGCCUGACCCUACUUCAAAUAUUUCUGUCUGUGACGUAGGAAGCGAUCACCAGAAUGGUUUAAAAGCUUGGAGAAAGGGAAACACAUACACAAAGAAUCAGAUUUGGUAUGGAAAUGGAAAACAUAUACUGGAUUACUUUAAGAAAUCCGCUUGAGCUAAAGAACGCUGAAAAGAAAAUGGACACAUCUUGAAAAGUAGUGAGAUCUCCACUGGGGGAAGCAGAAUGAGUAAUGAACUUGGAGGAAGCCAGUACUUCCAGAAAUUUGAGAUCCAGGUGCCAACAUCCACGUCCACAGAUGCGUUAUGGUUUCCUUUCUUUAACACUUGAGGAAUUGUGGGGCUUCUCAAGACAAGAGAAUGCGGCAUACCUGUACUGUCUCAAUGUGUAAGAAAACAGUUGGAAGCCCAAAAGUCAUACCAUUGAAGUUCCCUGCCUUACAGGCUGGGAUUAAAAGGGAAAACAAUCAGGAGCCCAACCUGGACCUAGUGUGUUUCUUUGCCAUAAAGAA